UUAAUCCGUCAGCAUAGCCGAAGUAAAGGGUGCUGUACCGAAGUUCACACGAUUGAAAGUAAUGAAGAUCGUGAAGCUGAGCUAAGGGAGCAGGUAGGCCGUAACGCAAGUGAAGCUAUUGAGCUCCGUCAUGUAUUUGAGAGUGUGGGUGCCGAGACUGUAUUUUAUGUCGAAGGCAACACGCAGGCGGGAGGAAGUGCCCGAAGCGACCCACCGGAGUCCGAGUGCA
rfam:Proteobacteria bacterium SG_bin7 4812, whole genome shotgun sequence.